rnacentral:rRNA from 1 species
UACGAAGGGAGCUAGCGUUGUUCGGAAUCACUGGGCGUAAAGCGCACGUAGGCGGCUUUGUAAGUUAGAGGUGAAAGCCCGGGGCUCAACCCCGGAAUUGCCUUUAAGACUGCGUCGCUUGAAUCCAGGAGAGGUGAGUGGAAUUCCGAGUGUAGAGGUGAAAUUCGUAGAUAUUCGGAAGAACACCAGUGGCGAAGGCGGCUCACUGGACUGGUAUUGACGCUGAGGUGCGAAAGCGUGGGGAGCAAACAGG